rnacentral:rRNA from 1 species
CUGCUUACACAUGCAAGUCGAACGGGCUCUUCGGAGCUAGUGGCGGACGGGUGAGUAACGCGUGAGAAUCUGCCCUUAGGACGGGGACAACAGCUGGAAACGGCUGCUAAUACCCGAUGUGCCGAGAGGUGAAACAUUUUAUGGCCUGAGGAUGAGCUCGCGUCUGAUUAGCUAGUUGGUGGGGUAAGAGCCUACCAAGGCGACGAUCAGUAGCUGGUCUGAGAGGAUGAUCAGCCACACUGGGACUGAGACACGGCCCAGACUCCUACGGGAGGCAGCAGUGGGGAAUUUUCCGCAAUGGGCGCAAGCCUGACGGAGCAAGACCGCGUGCGGGAGGACAGCCUAUUGGUUGUAAACCGCUCUUGAUAGGGAAGAAGCUCUGACGGUACCUAUCGAAUCAGCAUCGGCGAACUCCGUGCCAGCAGCCGCGGUAAUACGGAGGAUGCAAGCGUUAUCCGGAAUUAUUGGGCGUAAAGCGUCCGUAGGUGGUUGUUCAAGUCUGCUGUUAAAGCGUGCGGCUUAACCGCAUAUCAGCAGUGGAAACUGGACGACUAGAGUGCGGUAGGGGUCAGGGGAAUUCCCAGUGUAGCGGUGAAAUGCGUAGAUAUUGGGAAGAACACCGGUGGCGAAAGCGCCUGACUGGACCUGCACUGACACUGAGGGACGAAAGCUAGGGGAGCGAAAGGGAUUAGAUACCCCUGUAGUCCUAGCCGUAAACGAUGGACACUAGGUGUUGCCCGUAUCGACCCGGGCAGUGCCGUAGCCAACGCGUUAAGUGUCCCGCCUGGGGAGUACGCACGCAAGUGUGAAACCCAAAGGAAUUGACGGGGGCCCGCACAGGCGGUGGAGCAUGUGG